CCUACGGGCGGCUGCAGUCGAGAAUCUUUCACAAUGGGGGCAACCCUGAUGGAGCGACGCCGCGUGGAGGAUAAGGUCUUCGGAUUGUAAACUCCUGUCAUGCGAGAACAAGGUUGCAGGGCUAACACCUUUGCAAAUUGAUGGUACCGCAAGAGGAAGAGACGGCUAACUCUGUGCCAGCAGCCGCGGUAAUACAGAGGUCGCAAGCGUGGUUCGGAAUCACGGGGCGUUGGGGGGGUAAGUCUGAUGUGAAAGCCCGGGGCUCAACCUCGGAAUUGCAUCCGAUACUGCCAUGCUGGAGUACUGAAGAGGUGACUAGAAUUCUAGGUGUAGCAGUGAAAUGCGUAGAUAUCUAGAGGAAUACCAACGGCGAAGGCAGGUCACUGGGCAGUUACUGACACUGAGGCACGAAGGCCAGGGGAGCAAACGGGAUUAGAUACCCUAGUAGUC
rnacentral:rRNA from 1 species